AUGUCUUAGUUUAAGUUUUAUUUUAUGAACUUAGUAUUUAGAUUUUUAUUUUAUGCACUUAGAUUGUCUUUAGACUUUCGUUAGUCUGUAUCUGUUCCUCUUAUGUCUGGGUGCUUGUUAGUCUGUCCUUCAUCUCCAUUCUAUAAGUCUCCUGUUAGUCUCUUUACCUUAUUUCCUGUGUCUAUCUAUCAUCUGUUUAGGUAAUAUUAUCUAUAGGCUUGAC
rnacentral:lncRNA from 1 species